GAUGAACGCUGGCGGCGUGCCUAAUACAUGCGAGUCGAGCGAACAGACGAGGAGCCUGCUCCUCUGACGUUAGCGGCGGACGGGUGAGUAACACGUGGAUAACCUACCUAUAAGACUGGGAUAACUUCGGGAAACCGGAGCUAAUACCGGAUAAUAUAUUGAACCGCAUGGUUCAAUAGUGAAAGACGGUUUUGCUGUCACUUAUAGAUGGAUCCGCGCCGCAUUAGCUAGUUGGUAAGGUAACGGCUUACCAAGGCGACGAUGCGUAGCCGACCUGAGAGGGUGAUCGGCCACACUGGAACUGAGACACGGUCCAGACUCCUACGGGAGGCAGCAGUAGGGAAUCUUCCGCAAUGGUCGAAAGCCUGACGGAGCAACGCCGCGUGAGUGAUGAAGGUCUUCGGAUCGUAAAACUCUGUUAUUAGGGAAGAACAAAUGUGUAAGUAACUAUGCACGUCUUGACGGUACCUAAUCAGAAAGCCACGGCUAACUACGUG
rnacentral:rRNA from 1 species